GACGUAGCCAAGUGGAUUAAGGCAGU
rnacentral:tRNA from 3 species